UACGAAGGGGGCUAGCGUUGUUCGGAUUUACUGGGCGUAAAGCGCACGUAGGCGGAUCGAUCAGUCAGGGGUGAAAUCCCAGAGCUCAACUCUGGAACUGCCUUUGAUACUGUCGAUCUGGAGUAUGGAAGAGGUGAGUGGAAUUCCGAGUGUAGAGGUGAAAUUCGUAGAUAUCAGGAGGAACACCGGUGGCGAAAGCGGCUCACUGGCCCGAUAUUGACGCUCAUGUACGAAAGCGUGGGGAGCAAACAGGAUAGAACCUAACGAGU
rnacentral:rRNA from 1 species